UACGGGGGGGGCAAGCGUUGUUCGGAAUUACUGGGCGUAAAGGGUUCGUAGGUGGCCAACUAAGUCAGACGUGAAAUCCCUCAGCUUAACUGGGGAACUGCGUCUGAUACUGGUUGGCUUGAGUGCAGGAGAGGAACGCGGAAUUCCAGGUGUAGCGGUGAAAUGCGUAGAUAUCUGGAGGAACACCGGUGGCGAAGGCGGCGUUCUGGACUGCAACUGACACUGAAAGACGAAAGCCAGGGGAGCAAACGGG
rnacentral:rRNA from 1 species